UACGUAGGGUGCGAGCGUUAAUCGGAAUUACUGGGCGUAAAGCGUGCGCAGGCGGUGCUGUAAGACCGAUGUGAAAUCCCCGGCUUAACCUGGGAGCUGCAUUGGUGACUGCAGCGCUGGAGUAUGGCAGAGGGGGGUGGAAUUCCACGUGUAGCAGUGAAAUGCGUAGAGAUGUGGAGGAACACCGAUGGCGAAGGCAGCCCCCUGGGCCAAUACUGACGCUCAUGCACGAAGCGUGGGGAGCAAACAGG
rnacentral:rRNA from 1 species